rnacentral:rRNA from 1 species
ACCUACGGGAGGCAGCAGUGGGGAAUAUUGGGCAAUGGGCGCAAGCCUGACCCAGCAACGCCGCGUGAGGGAAGAAGGUUUUCGGAUUGUAAACCUCUGUCCUUGGGGACGAAAGAAAUGACGGUACCCGAGGAGGAAGCCCCGGCUAACUACGUGCCAGCAGCCGCGGUAAUACGUAGGGGGCGAGCGUUGUCCGGAAUUACUGGGCGUAAAGGGUGCGUAGGCGGUUUAUUAAGUUGGAUGUGAAAUACCCGGGCUUAACUUGGGGGGUGCAUCCAAAACUGGCAGACUAGAGUACAGGAGAGGGAAGCGGAAUUCCUAGUGUAGCGGUGAAAUGCGUAGAUAUUAGGAGGAACACCAGUGGCGAAGGCGGCUUUCUGGACUGACACUGACGCUGAGGCACGAAAGCGUGGGGAGCAAACAGGAUUAGAUACCCCGGUAGG